UACAGAGGGGGCAAGCGUUGUCCGGAAUUAUUGGGCGUAAAGAGCUCGUAGGCGGUUUGUUGCGUCGGCUGUGAAAUCCCGAGGCUCAACCUCGGGUCUGCAGUCGAUACGAGCAAACUAGAGUGUUGCAGGGGAGACUGGAAUUCCUGGUGUAGCGGUGAAAUGCGCAGAUAUCAGGAGGAACACCUGUGGCGAAAGCGGCUCACUGGACCAUAACUGACGCUGAUGCACGAAAGCUAGGGGAGCAAACAGG
rnacentral:rRNA from 1 species